rnacentral:rRNA from 1 species
UAUUAGAGGCAUUGCCUGCCCAGUGACUAAAGUUAAACGGCCGCGGUAUCCUGACCGUGCAAAGGUAGCAUAAUCACUUGUUCCUUAAUUAGGGACUAGAAUGAAUGGCUAAACGAGGGUUCAACUGUCUCUUACUUUCAAUCAGUGAAAUUGACCUUCCAGUGAAGAGGCUGGAAUACUACAAUAAGACGAGAAGACCCUAUGGAGCUUUAAUUUACUAGUUUAAUUUAUAUAAUAACAACCUAAUGGACCAAAACAAAAUAAAUAUAAACUAAAAAUUUCGGUUGGGGUGACCUCGGAGAAUAAAAAAUCCUCCGAAUGAUUUUAACCUAGACCCACAAGUCAAAGUAAUAUUAAUAUCUUAUUGACCCAAUUAUUGAUCAACGGACCAAGUUACCCUAGGGAUAACAGCGCAAUCCUAUUUAAGAGUUCAUAUCGACAAUUAGGGUUUACGACCUCGAUGUUGGAUCAGGACAUCCCAAUGGUGCAGAAGCUAUUAAUGGUUCGUUUGUUCAACGAUUAAAGUCCUACGUGAUCUGAGU